AGGAUCACAAUGGCAAUAAGUUUGUAG
rnacentral:piRNA from 1 species